rnacentral:tRNA from 1 species
GCCUCAUUAGCUAAGGGGUUGAGCAGAAGUCACGUAAACUCAAGGUCGUGAGUUCAAAUCUCUCAUCAGGUU